GGUCGCGGUAAAAAUAAGGUAUGUCGUACAUACCACGAUGAAAGCGAGAAGAGAGAAAGAAAGAUAACUUUUUGCAGCAACAAAUUUAUAAGGGCGCGUUUGGUUCGCACUAUAAAAAAUUUCUAGGAAUAAAAAUAUGUCCGAAAAUCUUAUUCCUAUUCAUGCUAUUACUAAGAAUGUGGCAUUCCAGUGUUUGGUUUGCAUGAUUAUAUUUUUUAGUCAUGUUAUUUAAGAUUACAAAAAAUAUACAAUUUUUUUAUUUUUUUAAUUAAUUUUAGAUAAUGCUAUUAAAAAUUUGAACAUCUUUUUAGAAAAAAGUGAGAGAGAACAUAGGUUAGAGAGAGAGUAUAAUUAAAAAAAUAGGAAGAGAAAUAGAGUUGAGAUUAGAGGGAGUGAGAGAGUUGAGAUUUUAGAAAAAGAGAGGGAGAGAGAGCAUAAUUUAAAGAGAAAAAGAUAAGUUUAGAGAGAGAAAUGAGGUUAGAGUGUAAAAAAAAAUAAUACCAACUAGCCGGCGGAUAGGGAGAAAGAAAAAAAUUAGAUAUAUUAUGAUUAUCUCAAUCCAUUAAUAUGAGGAUACCCACCCUUCCUCAAGGGAAUGAGAUUAAUACUUUAGGGUGAAUCCCAUUCCUAAGUAAAUCUAAUAUUACCAACUAGAUUACUUAGUGCGUUUAGCCAAAUACCGUCAUAUUUUUUUUAUUCCUAUUGGAUUACUAGGAAUCUUAAAAAGAUAGCACGAAUCAAAUGCACCCUAAGUGUAAAAUGGUCAUUUUACACACUCAUCGUUAAAAACUAACUACGAAUCAAACGGUAAGAACAUAUAUGAACGAACCAGAACUUUUGGAGAGAUAUAUUUGCAAAUCACAGAAUUUUCGAACGGAUAAAUCUGAUCAUUUAAGUUUUAUAGAAAUUUAUUUAUUAUUUGAUACUUUUACAGGGACAUAUAUGAAAUUAAU
rnacentral:lncRNA from 1 species